rfam:Arabidopsis thaliana chromosome 3, complete sequence.
AGAUGCGAUCAUACCAGCACUAAUGCACCGGAUCCCAUUAGAACUCCGCAGUUAAGCGUGCUUGGGCGAGAGUAGUACUAGGAUGGGUGACCUCGAAGAAUGUCCUCGUGUUGCAUCCC